rnacentral:lncRNA from 1 species
UAGAGGUAUCUGUAGCAGAAAUUAUACUGCUAGUGUUUUGCAGGAUAGGAUUUGAAAUUUUCCAAAAUAAAAGUCAUUUUUUUGUUUGCUUUUUGCCAAUAAUAAAAAUAGUACAUUCUUGCCAGGCGUGGUGGCUCAUGCCUGUAAUCCGAGCACUUUGGGAGGCCGAGGCAGGUGGAUCACGAGGUCAGGAGUUCGAGACCAGCCUGGCCCAUAUGGUGAAACCCUGUCUCUUUCUAAAAAUACAAGAAUUAGCCGGGCAUGGUGGCACACACCUGUAGUCCCAGCUACUCAGGAAGCUGAAGCAGAAGAAUCACUUGAACCCAGGAGGUGGAGAUUGCAGUGAGCUGAGAUCAUGCCACGGCACUCCAGCCUGGGCGACAGAGCAAGAGUCCAUCUCAAAAAAAUAAAUAAAGAUAUAAAUAAAAUAAUAGUAUAUUCUCAAUGAGAAAAAAAUCAAAUUAUUCAAAAGAGUUUAAAGGAAGAAGAAUUGCCUCCAAAUCUCACCACCAGGAGAUAGCCUCUGUUGAUAUUUGCUGUUUUCUCUGUCCUAAGGUGCACACAUUCACAUACACAUACACUUUAUAAAACUUGGAUUUUUACUCAAGAUAUUCUGAAACUGCUCUAUGUAGUAAAUAAUAUGGAUAUUGCUUUGUGACAGUAAAUAUGGAUGUUAUCUUUUUAACAUCUCUAUUUU